rnacentral:lncRNA from 1 species
GCGCGUUUUUUGAAAAAGUAUUUUACUUGUGUUUUAAUGAUCAUAUCACAUUAAAAUAAUUAAAAACUAUUAUUGGCCCAUUCCUACAUUGUAGAAAAAAAGAAAUAAAGUUUAUUUGAGUGAGUUUGAGCGGUCGGCUUUCCGUAGACGACGGCCGGGGCGUAGUCUUGUCAUCAUCGUUGUCGUCAUCGUCGUCGAUUUUUACCAAACAAGCAAACAAGCGUUGGUUGAUAAGCUGCUCUCUCUUUACGGAUAUAUCUUGAGCAUUUUGAGAGCGUUUAAAAUGCAGUCCGGGGUCGCGGACCGACACGGGUCCCCCAGCAAGAGGACUCUUGCCCGGGGGAUGAGCGAGGACGAGUCCCUGCGCAUCAUCAUCUCGGAGACGGAGACCCCAUCCCGGCGGCUCGCCCGCAGCGACAGCCGAAGCGGAACUCUUAAGAGGAAGAGUGGAAGUCAGCAGUGUGAUCAGGACAUUUUCAAGACCCUGCCUGACGUGAUGGAGCUGCAGGCCAGCUACGAGGAGGUGGUGCAGGAGCGGCGGGGCAUGGAGCUGGAGCGCGAGGCGCUGCUGUUCCAGGUGGACGUGCUGCAGGACUCCCUGGAGAGCGUGGAGGAGCUGCUGGCCGAGGCGCACCGGGAGGCCGGCCAGGCCCGCACGGAAGCGGAGCUGGGGAGGAUGACCAAUAGGACGCUGGAGGACAAAGUCAGAGCGCUGACGACUGAAGUGGAGCGACUGAACGAGGAGAGGGACGCCCUAGCUACCCUUCAGAAACACGCGCUCAUUCUGGAGGAGGCAAAGGCCUACAGCACCCUGGACCAGGAGGCACCCAGCACCCUGGCCCCAGCACCCAGCUCUGAGGAGCCCUGGUCCAGUCCUCUCCAGAAGCUGGCGGACAUCACCCUGUCCAAGAUGAGCACUCUGGCGCUGGUGGACCCCCGCCCCCCCGAGGGGGUGCGGGGCCGGCCGGACGGGUGGCGGCUGGAGGAGGAGGAGGACGAGAGGAACAACGACACAGACAGCGUGGGGGCCUACGAGGACGCCUCGGCCGACACGCCCGACCUCGACCCCCAGGCCUUCCCGGGGCCCGGGGAGGACGACGACGACGAGCGGGACGGGGGGGAGGAGGAGGAGGAGAGGGGGGGCGAGACGGACCCCAGGGACCCCAGGGACCCCAAGGACCAGGACCCGAACAGCUCCUGCGUUCUGUCUUAA